rnacentral:rRNA from 1 species
UACGUAGGGACCAAGCGUUGUUCGGAUUUACUGGGCGUAAAGGGCGCGUAGGCGGCAUGGCAAGUCACUUGUGAAAUCUCCGGGCUUAACUCGGAACGGCCAAGUGAUACUGCUGAGCUAGAGUGCAGAAGGGGCAAUCGGAAUUCUUGGUGUAGCGGUGAAAUGCGUAGAUAUCAAGAGGAACACCUGAGGUGAAGACGGGUUGCUGGGCUGACACUGACGCUGAGGCGCGAAAGCUAGGGUAGCAAAC